GGGGGGGGGGGCUCUACGAGGUGUGUCACACACAGACACACACAUGGGGGGGCUGUACAGGGUGUGUCACACACAGACACACACAUGGUGGGGGCUGUUUGGGGAAUGUGACACACAAACACGGGGGGGGCUCUACAAGGUGUCACACACAGACACACACAUGGGGGGGCUGUACAGGGUGUGUGACACCCACACCCGGUGGGGGCUGUAUGGGGAUGUGACACACAGACACACACGGGGGUGGGGGCUGUACGAGGUGUCUCUCACACACACG